UAUUAUUUUUGAUGUUAAUUAUUUAACCUGAGUAGUAAUAGAUAUGGUCUUGAAACUUAAAGAAUUUGGCAGUAUUUUAUUCUGUUCAGAGGAACCUGUUCUUUUAUCGAUAAUCCUCGUUGGACCUUACUUAAUUUAUUUGAUUUGUAUACCGCCGUUGUAUUGAGGAUCUUUAUAGUGUUUAAAUUUUCUGGUUUUUAUUUUAAGUUAUUUCAGGUCAAGGUGCAAUUUAUGAUUAAGUGGAAAUGGGUUACUUUUAUAUUUAUUUUUGGAUUUUUAGAUGAAAUUUUAAUAUGAAAUUGGAUUUGAAUGUAAUUAUUAUUUUAGAUUGUAUUGAUGAUUUAGUUUCUAGAAUGUGUACACAUCGCCCGUCGCUCUCGUUAUUUAUUCGAG
rnacentral:rRNA from 1 species